rnacentral:rRNA from 1 species
AGGGUUCGAUUCUGGCUCAGGAUGAACGCUAGCGACAGGCUUAACACAUGCAAGUCGAGGGGCAGCAUAAAAGUAGCAAUACUUGGUGGCGACCGGCGCACGGGUGAGUAACGCGUAUGCAACCUACCUAUCAGAGGGGAAUAACCCGGCGAAAGUCGGACUAAUACCGCAUAAAACAGGGGCACCGCAUGGUGAUAUUUGUUAAAGAAAUUCGCUGAUAGGUGGGCAUGCGUUCCAUUAGGUAGUUGGUGAGGUAACGGCUCACCAAGCCGACGAUGGAUAGGGGAACUGAGAGGUUGGUCCCCCACACUGGUACUGAGACACGGACCAGACUCCUACGGGAGGCAGCAGUGAGGAAUAUUGGUCAAUGGGCGGGAGCCUGAACCAGCCAAGUCGCCGUGAAGGAAGAAGGAUCUAUGGUUCGUAAACUUCUUUUGCAGGGGAAUAAAGUGCAGGACGUGUCCUGUUUUGUAUGUACCCUGAGAAUAAGGAUCGGCUAACUCCGUGCCAGCCGCCGC